GAGUAAAAACCCCCUUCGGUCAUGAAUAAUCAUGGGAUUGCACCUAAAAAGUUCCCUUCCAAGGAACAAGUCCAGGAAAGGUUGUUUAGAUGGGAAGA